GCUGGGCAUGGUGGCGCGUGCCUGUAAUCUCAGCUACUUGGGAAGCUGAGGUGGGAGGAUUGCUUGAGCCCAGGAGUUCUGGGCUGUAGUGUGCUAUGCUGAUUGGGUGUCCACACUAAGUUCGGCAUCAAUAUGGUGACUUUCCCGGAGCGGGGGACGACCAGGUUGCCUAAGGAGGGGUGAACCGACCCAGGUUGGAAACAGAGCAGGUCAAAACUCCCGUGCUGAUCAGUAGUGUGAUCCUGCCUGUGAAUGGCCACUGCACUCUAGCCUGGGCAACAUAGCGAGACCCCGUCUCA
rnacentral:SRP_RNA from 1 species